CUGUCUGGAUGUGAUCCUGUGCAAUGUGCUCUAGAGGACCCUGCUUGAGCAGGGAGUUUGGAGUACAUGAUUUCCAGACGUCCCUUCCAACCUUGGCCAUUCUGUGAUACAGUGGGCAGUGCUGGAACACCUGGCUGCACACAGUUUCAGCCGUGAUGUUCUAGGACUUUGCUGUCCUAGAAGGGCAGGUGCAAAACAGCUGGCUAUAUGAAACGCACAUAAACAAUAAAAAUUGUUUAGUUUACCUUGAUCUAAAAUGCCUGGGAAAGUUUGGAAAAUGUCAUUCUCUGCUGUAGUUCUGGCUAAAUACAGCAUACCAAUCUGAAUCAGUAAAAUGAAACACCAAAGAUAAAAAUUGCCAAGUAAGUAAAAGGCAAAAUGCAGGAAUUUUUGCUAAGGACUGUCAUGAAAACAUACAUAGAUUUUCAGCAAUUGUGUAAAAUUAAGUAUCUGCAAAGUUUCCUGUUUAAAAAACAAAAUCCCCAAACCCACAAAAAGGUUUAGAGCCAGCCUAUGAAUAACACCUUGAUAUUGUUUCUUAUACAUUAAUGUUUUCUCUCCUGAUUAUCUUAAUUGCAUAGAAGUGAAAAAAUACACGUUUUUAUGGUUGUACUGUCAGUGCAGCUUUGGACAUUAACCCUUUCUAACAGGAUUGCCCAUUGCUCUUUUCCUUGUGGUUUUAUAGUACUGUCUGGUAAAUGAAGUCUGGCAGGUAUGGUGGAGGAACUGGCAUCUCAAUUUCUUCAGCUACUGUGAGUGGAAGAUGAAGACUAAACAACUAUGAACGUCAAGGGGGAGAAGAGUUGCGGAACAAAAGUAAAAAUAUCAAGGAUGUAAUUUUCUUGUCUGUAAGUGGUCUUCACACAUUCCAGCUCUAACUGCUUCAAACUGAAAAUUCAGAACUACUGCAUUACGGUCAGUCACGGAUUAUUACAUAGCAUGAAACCAGACUGAUAUGAAAACUUUGGAAGUGAAGGAUCCACAUAGAAGCAUCCUCAAUGAAGAUUUUGAGGAACCAGUUCUUUGCAAGGGGGACUUUGAAUUUGCACGAACUAUAUCUAAGCGAGAUUGAUAGUCAGGUGGAUAGAGCGAGCUCCGAAAAACCUGUUCAGAAGAAGAGAGCUGUGACUUUGAUGCAAUGAUACAGCUUGCAAGCUAACAGUCUACAAGACUGAAGCUCUCUAAAAGAAGUGCAACACUGGACAAUUGUAACAAAACCCUGCUGUAGAAAUAUGUAUCAACUGUAGUUUGGAUGGAUCACUUGGGAUCACUUUUAGCAGAAGUAACAUCCCCGCUCACCCUGAGACACGUCACACAUAUCAACACCUUUAUGUGGUGCAACUACACAUUCUUCAGAGAUCUGAGGGGAUGCAGAAUUCUAAGAGUGAUUUAGAGGUGGGAAUCUGCAAUGGUUACCUGGGGUCCUGGCACAUGCUGUGUGUGGUAUGAGGCAGCUGUGUUUCAGGCUGAGCUAGAGAUACCAACCCCAGCUAGAAACAGUAAACCACUGGCAGGCUCUCCAAAUUUUGGGGGAGGUGAAUCGCUGCGUCCCUUCACCAGCAAAUUCUUGCUGCCAAUCACAGUUACAUCACAAAAGUUUCCUCUGAAAUGCUCAAGAGACAUGUGCAGCUCAAGAACAAUUUGGGAAAAGCCUUAGAAUACAGGGGAAAACAUAGCCUUCGUUGUAUUUACUAGUUCUUUCCAUUAUCCAAACAAUAAAUUAUAGGACUAGCAGCCGGAUACUGAAAACAGUAAAAUUAUUGAUGCAAGACUUUUUUUUAAUAAACUGAAGGAAGAUAGUAGGAUCAUGGCCAGUCAAUAUUUUUAUAGGAAGUAAAUUUUGUCAAAUUAACAGGAGUUUUUAAGUGAGAUUAGAAACUUGGUUGCAAAAAAAUAAAAUAUUGACUUAAAGGAUUUUCUUUUUUUGAUUCAGUGAUAGAUGAUAUUUUAAUUAUGGAAUUAGAAUAACAUAACAUUGACAUGGCAGUCUAAACGAAGUUAAACAAAAAAAGCCACUAUUGGAUCUGAAAUAUGACUGUCACUGAAGAAUCAUGAUUUUACAUAUCUUCCAAUGACUGAAUGCUGCCAUUCUUAGUCCUAUAUAAUGUCUUAGAAAAAAUAAAGUUAGUACCGUAAGAUUUACAAAAAGCAGAAAAAUAUUGGAAAUGAUCCAGUUUGCUUGACAAACUGAAUACAUGCACGCAGUAUCCAUUUGAAUAGUAGUAAGUUUAAAGGUUCAAUAUCCAGAAGAAUUGUAACUCAAGAGUAAGGGUGACUUGAAGGCAAGCUGUAACUGCCACAGGCCAAAAAAAAUUGGUAACAAAUGUCUCUUCACUCUAGCAACAGCCUAAUAAACGGUAUCUAAGGAUGAAAAAAAGCAAAAGUCAGAAUAGAAAGAAAAUACAGAUUUUAAAUGGAGUAAUUAGUCUUUAGAACAUCUUAUCAGAGUAAUGAUACGAUUUCUCUCUUAGCGUGCAUCUUUACAGCAAGAUUCACUGCAAAGGUUAUCCUAGAAGGUGUCCUUUAAUAAACUGUGAUCGACCUCGGCUUGGAGUGGCAAUUAAUUUAGAAAAAGUCUCUUAUCCGUAUUUUGUACAAAAGAUUAGAUAGUCACUGCUGUUCUCACCUAGUUUUAAAAUCUCUGGGUUUAUAAACCUGUAUAGCCUGUAAACUCCUUGUUGGAAUGGUGCAGAAAGAGCUCAGUGUCAAAUGAUAGUUUGUUCUGCUCACCCAUACAAUACGUUUCAUUUUUUGCCUGGAACAUGUGUAGCUCAAGAGUGUGGAAAAAAAUGACUUCUUUAUAUAAGAAAUAAAUUGAAAAGUAAAUUUUAA